UACAGAGGGUGCGAGCGUUGUCCGGAAUCACUGGGCGUAAAGGGCGCGUAGGUGGCGGCCCAAGUCCAUGGUGAAAGCUCGAUGCUCAACAUCGAGUCGGCCACGGAUACUGGGUUGCUCGAGCACUGUAGGGGCAGAUGGAAUUCCGGGUGUAGCGGUGGAAUGCGUAGAGAUCCGGAAGAACACCGGUGGCGAAGGCGGUCUGCUGGGCAGUUGCUGACACUGAGGCGCGGCAGCGUGGGGAGCAAACAGG
rnacentral:rRNA from 1 species